rnacentral:rRNA from 1 species
ACGUAGGGUGCAAGCGUUGUCUGGAUUUAUUGGGCGUAAAGAGCUCGUAGGCGGUUUUGAAAGUCAGGUGUGAAACCUCCAGGCUCAACCUGGAGACGCCACUUGAUACUUCAAUGACUUGAGUUCGGUAGGGGUAAGCGGAAUUCCUGGUGUAGCGGUGAAAUGCGCAGAUAUCAGGAGGAACACCGAUGGCGAAGGCAGCUUACUGGGCCGAUACUGACGCUGAGGAGCGAAAGCGUGGGGAGCGAACAGGAUUAGAUACCCUGGUAGUCCACGCCGUAAACGUUGGGAACUAGGUGUGGGAGAUAUUCAACGUCUUCCGUGCCGUAGCUAACGCAUUAAGUUCCCCGCCUGGGGAGUACGGUCGCAAGACUA